GGGCACGUAGUGGCAGGAAGGCCAACACAAAAAGCCCUGCACUAAUCAGACCUGUUUGUAAUGAAAUGUCUGAAAUAAGCAUUGUGCUCUCUGGAGACAGACAAAAGACUUUUCAUCAUCUGAAGCCCUGUCAGAACCAGGAAUAUUCAAAACUGCCGGAGCCAAGUGGACCCACAGCCAGCC
rnacentral:lncRNA from 1 species